GAUGAGCGCUGGCGGCGUGCCUAAUACAUGCAAGUCGAGCGAACGGACGAGAAGCUUGCUUCUCUGAUGUUAGCGGCGGACGGGUGAGUAACACGUGGAUAACCUACCUAUAAGACUGGGAUAACUUCGGGAAACCGGAGCUAAUACCGGAUAAUAUUUUGAACCGCAUGGUUCAAAAGUGAAAGACGGUCUUGCUGUCACUUAUAGAUGGAUCCGCGCUGCAUUAGCUAGUUGGUAAGGUAACGGCUUACCAAGGCAACGAUGCAUAGCCGACCUGAGGGGGUGAUCGGCCACACUGGAACUGAGACACGGUCCAGACUCCUACGGGAGGCAGCAGUAGGGAAUCUUCCGCAAUGGGCGAAAGCCUGACGGAGCAACGCCGCGUGAGUGAUGAAGGUCUUCGGAUCGUAAAACUCUGUUAUUAGGGAAGAACAUAUGUGUAAGUAACUGUGCACAUCUUGACGGUACCUAAUCAGAAAGCCACGGCUAACUACGUG
rnacentral:rRNA from 1 species